UAUGGUGGAGGUCUCCCAGAUGAAAUUGCUGCAGAAGAAAAAGGAUAUCAUUGUGUUUUGAUUGUUGGUUCUGGAGUCGAUAAGAAUGGGGAGGAGUUUUUUCUGAUAAAAAAUUCUUGGGGGGAGGACUGGGGUUAUAAGGGAUUUGCCAAGGUCCGCCGGAACCUCAUCCUCGAAUAUGGCUUUCCAAUAGGUGCCACUGGAUUUAGGAAAGUCAACAGGAUGGGUAGGCAGAGUCCAUAGAAGCUUGAAGGGUAUAUGUGAGUGAAACUGUGAAAGUAGCAGAAGCAAUGGUGGUAUUUCCUAAUUCUUUUUUCCCUUGCUUUAUAUUUGCUCAACUUUUCAUGGAUUAGUGGCUAUUUAACUGAGCUGGAGCAAUGUUUUGUGGUUGAGGGGCAAUGCUGUAUUGGAAAUUACAGAUAUAUUUGGGUGUUGGUGUUAUAUAUAAUAUGAACAGUCUGGUUGCUGCGUUGAGCAAGAACUCGUUCCACAUCUUUUGAACUUUCCACAUCUGUGCCAAUCUUCAAGGAUGUGGAAUUGGCACAGAUGUUGAACCUUAACUCAAUUGGCCAUAAGUAUUUUUUCAGUCUGACGAGCAUAACCUCUCUUUGGUCCUUGAAGAUAAGUGUUAAGGUUCAAAAGAUGUGGAAGCUUUCUUUUUGGAAGAUGGCGAUAAGUAUUAAGGUUCAGAAUUGCA